rnacentral:rRNA from 1 species
CGGGCCCCUUCCGUGCUGUGGCACUUCUACCGCGACCCCCCGUGCUGGGCGGGUCGACUGCGGGG